rnacentral:rRNA from 1 species
GACGAACGCUGGCGGCGUGCCUAAUACAUGCAAGUCGAGCGGAACCAUUGGAGCUUGCUCCAUUUGGUUUAGCGGCGGACGGGUGAGUAACACGUGGGCAACCUGCCCUGCAGAUCGGGAUAACUCCGGGAAACCGGUGCUAAUACCGAAUAGUUUGCGGCCUCUCCUGAGGCUGCACGGAAAGACGGUUUCGGCUGUCACUGCAGGAUGGGCCCGCGGCGCAUUAGCUAGUUGGUGGGGUAAUGGCCCACCAAGGCCACGAUGCGUAGCCGACCUGAGAGGGUGAUCGGCCACACUGGGACUGAGACACGGCCCAGACUCCUACGGGAGGCAGCAGUAGGGAAUCUUCCGCAAUGGACGCAAGUCUGACGGAGCAACGCCGCGUGAGUGACGAAGGUUUUCGGAUCGUAAAACUCUGUUGUGAGGGAAGAACACGUACCAAUUAACUACUGGUACCUUGACG